AUCCUGGCUCAGAAUCAACGCUGGCGGCGUGCCUAACACAUGCAAGUCGAACGAGAAAGUGGAGCAAUCCAUGAGUAAAGUGGCGACCGGGUGAGUAACACGUGACUAACCUACCCUCGAGUGGGGAAUAACGCCGGGAAACCGGCGCUAAUACCGCAUAACAUCGCAAGAUCAAAGCAGCAAUGCGCUUGAGGAGGGGGUCGCGGCCGAUUAGUUAGUUGGUAGGGUAACGGCCUACCAAGACGAAGAUCGGUAGCCGGCCUGAGAGGGCGCACGGCCACACUGGAACUGAAACACGGUCCAGACUCCUACGGGAGGCA
rnacentral:rRNA from 1 species